rnacentral:ncRNA from 1 species
GCGCGUCCGUGGUUGAAAGUCGAUGCCAGUCGCAGGCGAAACGAUCCACGUAAGCCGGGAAAAUUCCGGUGAGCAUGGUGCGGCUUAGAAGUAAGUCCUGCCAACAUCUAUAUUUCACGUUGAGAGAAGCAGUAGUGGGGAGGCAUGAGGCCUUAGGAGCGAACCUUCCAGCAGGCGAGUGUGGGGUCAAAGACCAGGUCGGGCGC